UACGUAGGGUGCGAGCGUUAAUCGGAAUUACUGGGCGUAAAGCGUGCGCAGGCGGUGAGCUGUGUCCAAUGUGAAAGCCCCGGGCUUAACCUGGGAAUGGCAUUGGAAACUGGCUCGCUGGAGUGUGGCAGAGGGGGGUGGAAUUCCGCGUGUAGCAGUGAAAUGCGUAGAGAUGCGGAGGAACACCGAUGGCGAAGGCAGCCCCCUGGGCUAACACUGACGCUCAGGCACGAAAGCGUGGGGAGCAAACAGG
rnacentral:rRNA from 1 species